AGAGUUUGAUCCUGGCUCAGAUUGAACGCUGGCGGCGUGCCUAACACAUGCAAGUCGAGCGCGAAAGUUCCUUCGGGGAUGAGUAAAGCGGCGCACGGGUGAGUAACACGUGGAUAAUCUGCCCAUAUAUUCGGGAUAACGUCUGGAAACGGGCGCUAAUACCGUAUACGCUCUGGAUAAUUCUUCUAGAGGAAAGGCGGCCUCUAUUUAUAAGCUGUCGUAUAUGGAUGAGUCUGCGUCUCAUUAGGUAGUUGGUGGGGUAAUGGCCUACCAAGCCGAUGAUGAGUAUCCGGCCUGAGAGGGUGAUCGGCCACACUGGGACUGACAUACGGCCCAGACUCCUACGGGAGGCAGCAGUGGGGAAUAUUGCGCAAUGGACGAAAGUCUGACGCAGCGACGCCGCGUGAGGGACGAAGGUCUUCGGAUCGUAAACCUCUGUCAGAAGGGAAGAAGUGUAGUGGGAGUAACUGCCUGCUACUUGACGGUACCUUCAGAGGAAGCACCGGCUAACUCCGUGCCAGCAGCCGCGGUAAUACGGAGGGUGCGAGCGUUAAUCGGAAUUACUGGGCGUAAAGCGCGCGUAGGCGGCUUUGUAAGUCAGGGGUGAAAUCCCACGGCUCAACCGUGGAACUGCCUUUGAAACUGCAAAGCUUGAAUCCUGGAGAGGGUGGCGGAAUUCCUGGUGUAGGAGUGAAAUCCGUAGAUAUCAGGAGGAACACCGGUGGCGAAGGCGGCCACCUGGACAGGUAUUGACGCUGAGGUGCGAAAGUGUGGGGAGCAAACAGGAUUAGAUACCCUGGUAGUCG
rnacentral:rRNA from 1 species